AGCUUAUUCUCUGUCAGUUAUUAGCUUCUUUUUAUUGAAAUGUGGAAACAUAAGACUUUCUAGAAAGUAGCUUUAAUUUUAAAUAUCUAUAAUUGCAUAUUGUUUGUCCUUGCUCCCAGUGUUUGAAAUACAAUUUAAGUAAGAAACCUUCCUUUUGAAUGGAUGUUCAUGUGAUCUCAUUUUAUCAUGAAAGCAAGGUUAGAUUGCAUUUCUCUUUUUUCUUUUUUCAUCUUCCCUUCAUUUCUUCCCUCCCUCUUUCUUUCCUUUUCUUUUUUCUCCUUUUCUCUUUUCUCUCCUCCCCUCCUCUCCCUUCCCCUCCCCCUUUUCUCUUUUCUCUUUUCUCUUUUCUCUUUUCUCUUUUCUCUUUUCUCUUUUCUCUUUUCUCUUUUCUCUUUUCUCUCUUCUCUUCUCUUCUCUUCUCUUCUCUUCUUUUCUUUUCUUUUCUUUUCUUCUUGUCAGUGUCUGGAGCCUCUUGCAUACCAGCCAUGUGUGCUACCAAUGGCAGAUAGCCCAGCCUCUCUGUAAAAUUUAACCUACCUAUUUCUUCCCACCUCUUCUUAUAGUUGGAUAGAACACCUUUGGAUUUUCAACAUAGCUAUUUAGUUCUAAAAAAAAAAAAAAACAAAAACAAAAACAAAAAAAAACAAAAACAAAAACAAAAAAAAAAAAAACAAAAAAACCAUAAAGUAUCAUUAAACGCAGGCACCGGUUUGGCAAGCACUGCAACAGCUGUGUCGAUGCUGGGGCUACUUUCCCAAAGCAGAACUAUGAUUCUGAAGAGACCAUUCUACGUGGUGAAUUUGUGUUCCUGCUGGAGGAACCCCACCGCUUCCUCUGACUGACAUGCCCCAGCCUCAUCAGUGGGACUCAGGCCCAGAAGCUGCCGAGCCUUUCAGCAGCUGUGUGAGAUUCCAGUCUCAGACAGGGAGGAAAACUGGGGUCCCUGAGUAUCUUGCCAAGAAUCUGACCCCUACAUAUUGUCUAAAAAGAACUCAAUACUGAACAAAUAGUGACCAAUCACUUCUGAAAGGAUGAAUCCAUAUUGAUAUGUCUGUACCUUUUUAUGACAAAACCAAAAUAAAAAUUACUUAUUGUAGACAGAAGGGACACCAAACUUCCUAUUCCAGAGGCAGUGUUCACCUCCUGACUGCCUGUUUUUUCCGGUGUUUCAGGACUCCUUGGCCCUGCUAAGAGGGAUGCAUGGCUGCAGUUAAGGGCAGAGAUCGAAGGCCUAACAGAUUCCUGGCUAACGAAUGCACUUAAGUCUUUAUCAAUUAUUAGUACUAGGUAAGUGGGAUUACAGCCUUUCUACUUGAAUUAUGUGGAAUACCUGGGUCCAACAGCAUAACAGAGAAAAACCAUACCAACUGCUAGUAAUUCACCACACCCGUUGAUUUCUGUGUGUAUGUGUGCUGCAUGUAUUAGUGUGUGCUAUGUGUGCCUGCAUGGGUACGCAUGCGUGACUGCGUGGGUGGGUGCAUAUAAAUGUGGGAAGCGAUGGCUGGUGCAUAAGAUUAACCUUUACUUUUUAUCAUUUCAUAGUUUUAUUUCUGAUUUACGUUAAUCAAUAAAGACACAGUUAACUAAUGUGUGGGUAACACUUAGGCAUAAAAAGAGAUGUUAUCCAGAGAGCAGAUACAUAAAAAGGUUGCUGGAGUGAAAGAGGAGCCCCGUAUUUAGGACAUGAAAGUAAAUUUAUCUGUCAAAUCUGGCCUGUGGUCCCUUCCUGGUCACAUGAUCAGAAGCUUCACCAAUAACAGAAAGUCCUCUUUGGGGGCUGCCCUUGACUUCCUGGCCUAACUGGGGCAGACAUGAGCACUCUUUACUUCUCAGUGUCACAAUAUAAUGUAAAGUCUGACAGACAUGUAGUCUUCUGGGUUCAGCUUGGUAGUCCCUCAAAUUUGGUCUACACAAAAGGGAAGGCUGCCAAGAACUCAAGAGGCAAGCCUGGGACAAAGUUGUCCAUUGCAACUGUUUGAAAUGUUUGGCUCAAAAUAAGUUAGAUUUGACUGUGUGUCUAUAAAGGUUAACAAUUGGGGUCGAUGUGUAGAAAGCUUAGGAAGGACAUGAUAAUGCAGGAAGUACCGGACAGAUGAAGUGGCUUGGACACGGAUCUUCCUGAGUCAUGAUAUCUAUAACUGUGGCAUAAUCAAUCAAACGGCAGGGACUCUGGGGCAGGAAAACCUGGAAAUUGUGUAGAUGAUGUGGAGUCAUGCUCAUUUCUCCAAGAAUUGUGUCAACACCUUAUUCUUAGAUUUUUCUAAGAAUGACCUUAAGGCUUUCUCAAGGAUAUGUGACCUUAAGAAAUGAAUAGAUGAAUAGAAAAAAAAAAGGCCUUAGAAAAACAAGCCAAUGCCCCCUGACUAAUGGGCUAUGAAAUUUGCUAUGGUAUCCAGAUAUUUCAGCAUUAAUACCUGGGACAUUUUCACAAAGCCUCAAAAUGUACGGAAAACAAUUUGAUGAAUUGUGUGUAAGAAUUCUCAACAAAGUUGAGUUAUCUCUUACCAUAGUUGUUCUAUCAUUAAAGAAGUAAUUCCAGGGGCUGGGGGGAAAAAUAAAGACAAAAAAAAAAAAAAACCAAAACAAAACAAAAAACCAAAACC
rnacentral:lncRNA from 1 species